AAGUCCAGCCCACUCGCAGGAAAGAAAUGCACAAGGACAUGAAUGCCAAGAGGCAGAGACCAUUCAGAUUCUCAUUAAGGUUGCCAAUCACAGGUUCCUGACUUGGGUUCCUGCCCUGACUUCCCUUAGUGACAGAGUGUGACCUGGAAAUUUACUAUGCACUAAACCUUUGUUUGCUCAGGCAUUGCUCAUGCUUCCUGCAGGAGAGCACGUAGCCAAGAGGAGUGAAGCGUGCUUGUUGGACUAGUGUCAAAAGGAAACAGAAGCAGGAAGAUCACCUCACACUGCAAGGAGCCUUUGGAUUCUGUUUGAUCGGCUUAAAUACAACACAAAAAGAGCACAUGGAAUGUGAUGGAGAAGUCAAGACAUAGGGUGCAGUCAGGCUGCAUGGGCAAUUCAGGAUUCACUUGUUUGCUUCUGUUCUUCUAUGUCUAUGCUUCUUCAUGGUCAAGCUUCUAGGGGUGGUAGGAUAUCUUUAAGCAAGUUCAGACCUAAAAACUUCCAGAGGCAAGACACCCUGGAAACCGUCAUAAAAAUCUCCUGAAUUAUGAUAGGUUCCAGUCGGGUGAUUAUCCAAUUAACUAAUUUUGAGGCAGGAUUUCACUAUGUAGCCCUUGCUGUCCUGAAACUCACUAUGUACCUAGGCUGACCUCAAAUUCACAACAAUCUGCUUGACUCUGCCUCCUGAGUUCUGGGAUUAAAAUUGUGUGUCAACCAUCUUUGAAUCUAUUGUCAGUGAAUGGAAUGACGUGUUUGGCCAGGCCUAAGAUAGAUUUCCAUUUGAACAAUAAAAGUGUUGUACUCC
rnacentral:lncRNA from 1 species